rnacentral:rRNA from 1 species
UACGGAGGAUCCAAGCGUUAUCCGGAUUUAUUGGGUUUAAAGGGUGCGUAGGCGGCUUAUUAAGUCAGGGGUGAAAGGCGGUGGCUCAACCAUCGCAGUGCCUUGAUACUGAUGAGCUUGAAUAACUAUGAGGUAGGCGGAAUGUGACAAGUAGCGGUGAAAUGCAUAGAUAUGUCACAGAACACCAAUUGCGAAGGCAGCUUACUAAAAGUGUUAUUUGACGCUGAGGCACGAAAGCGUGGGGAUCAAACAGG